rnacentral:tRNA from 1 species
AGUCCUAUGGUCUAGUGGUAUGACGGUCCCUUCACAUUGCGCAAUAGUGAAGAUCCGGGACAGGUCCUGGGUUCGAUCCCCAGUGGGACUA